rnacentral:rRNA from 1 species
CCUACGGGUGGCUGCAGUGGGGAAUAUUGGACAAUGGGGGCAACCCUGAUCCAGCCAUGCCGCGUGUGUGAAGAAGGCCCUCGGGUUGUAAAGCACUUUCAGUGGGGAAGAACGCCUGGUGGUUAAUACCCAUCAGGAAAGACAUCACUCACAGAAGAAGCACCGGCUAACUCCGUGCCAGCAGCCGCGGUAAUACGGAGGGUGCGAGCGUUAAUCGGAAUUACUGGGCGUAAAGCGCGCGUAGGUGGCUUGAUAAGCCGGUUGUGAAAGCCCCGGGCUCAACCUGGGAACGGCAUCCGGAACUGUCAAGCUAGAGUGCAGGAGAGGAAGGUAGAAUUCCCGGUGUAGCGGUGAAAUGCGUAGAGAUCGGGAGGAAUACCAGUGGCGAAGGCGGCCUUCUGGACUGACACUGACACUGAGGUGCGAAAGCGUGGGUAGCAAACAGGAUUAGAUACCCGGGUAGUC